rnacentral:rRNA from 1 species
AAUAGAUACCCGGGUAGUCCACGCCCUAAACGAUGUCAACUAGCUGUUGGGGCCUUCGGGCCUUGGUAGCGCAGCUAACGCGUGAAGUUGACCGCCUGGGGAGUACGGUCGCAAGAUUAAAACUCAAAAGAAUUGACGGGGACCCGCACAAGCGGUGGAUGAUGUGGAUUAAUUCGAUGCAACGCGAAAAACCUUACCUACCCUUGACAUGUCUGGAAUGCCGAAGAGAUUUGACAGUGCUCGCAAGAGAGCCGGAACACAGGUACUGCAUGGCUGUCGUCAGCUCGUGUCGUGAGAUGUUGGGUUAAGUCCCGCAACGAGCGCAACCCUUGUCAUUAGUUGCUACGAAAGGGCACUCUAAUGAGACUGCCGGUGACAAACCGGAGGAAGGUGGGGAUGACGUCAAGUCCUCAUGGCCCUUAUGGGUAGGGCUUCACACGUCAUACAAUGGUCGGGACAGAGGGGUUCGCCAAACCCGGCGAGGGGGGAGCCGAAUCCCCAGAAACCCCGAUCGUAGUCCGGAUCGCAGUCUGCAA